AGGGCCAAGCGUUAUCCGGAAUUAUUGGGCGUAAAGAGCUCGUAGGCGGUUUGUCNCGUCUGCCGUGAAAGUCCGGGGCUCAACUCCGGAUCUGCGGUGGGUACGGGCAGACUAGAGUGAUGUAGGGGAGACUGGAAUUCCUGGUGUAGCGGUGAAAUGCGCAGAUAUCGGGAGGAACACCGAUGGCGAAGGCAGGUCUCUGGGCAUUAACUGACGCUGAGGAGCGAAAGCAUGGGGAGCGAACAGGAUUAGAUACCCUGGUAGUCCAUGCCGUAAACGUUGGGCACUAGGUGUGGGGGACAUUCCACGUUUUCCGCGCCGUAGCUAACGCAUUAAGUGCCCCGCCUGGGGAGUACGGCCGCAAGGCUAAAACUCAAAGGAAUUGACGGGGGCCCGCACAAGCGGCGGANCAUGCGGAUUAAUUCGAUGCAACGCGAAAAAACUUACCAAGGCUUGACAUGAACCGGAAAGAUCUGGAAACAGGUCCCCCACUUGUUGGUCCGGUUUACA
rnacentral:rRNA from 1 species